rnacentral:rRNA from 1 species
CCUACGGGUGGCAGCAGUAGGGAAUAUUGCUCAAUGGGGGAAACCCUGAAGCAGCAACGCCGCGUGGAGGAUGAAGGUUUUCGGAUUGUAAACUCCUUUUGUUAGAGAAGAUAAUGACGGUAUCUAACGAAUAAGCACCGUCUAACUCCGUGCCAGCUGCCGCGGUAAUACGGAGGGUGCAAGCGUUACGCGGAAUCUCUGGGCGUAAAGGGCGUGUAGGCGGGAUAGCAAGUCAGAUGUGAAAUACUAUGGCUUAACCAUAGAACUGCAUGUGAAACUGUUAUUCUAGAGUAUGGGAGAGGUAGGUGGAAUUCGUGGUGUAGGGGUAAAAUCCGUAGAGAUCAAGAGGAAUACUCAUUGCGAAGGCGACCUGCUAGAACAUAACUGACGCUGAUGCACGAAAGCGUGGGGAGCAAACAGGAUUAGAUACCCUUGUAGUC